UUACGGUCAUACGAUGUUGACGAACAGGUUCCGUACGGUCACCGAAAUUAAGCAACGUCGAUCCUGCUCAGUACUUAGAUGGGUGACCGCUUGGGAAAACCAGGUGU